GUUUAUUACAAACUGCUGUCAUCUCUCAAAUAUACCAAGCUUACUUCUACCUCAAGGCCUUUGCCCUUGUGGUUUCUUCAGCCUAAAACACUCUUCCCCUUAGCCUGAUGGCUCACUCUCAUUUCAUUCAGUUCUCUGCUCCAGUAUCACAUGACAGAGAUGUUUUCCGUGAUAUCUCAAAUAACAACCCCCAUCUUUCUGGUCUCUUACUCCACUUCAUUUUUAGAGUACUUGCCAGCACCCAACAUGUUGCAUAUUUGUUUUUGUCUGUCUUUUUUCACUAGAGUGUGAACUCUUUGAGGGAUUCAUGAAGAAAGGGACCUUGUCUGACUUAUUUUCCCUUGUACCUUAGUUCCUGAACAGGCCUGGUACCCAGUCAGUCACUAGCCCAAGCUUACACACCUAACGACUAGGAAAGUCAGCAUUCUAAUCUGUCUGUGGAGCUUAAACUGACAUUCUUUCUCCUGCUCCUCAGAAUACCUGCUCAUUUCUUCAAUGACUCGAGCCGAUUUCAGACUAGACUUGGAAGAGAUUUGGCUUUGGGUGAGGGGAGAUCAGGGAGCAGGGCCCAGUAGAGAAGAGGCAAAGUAAUAUCUCGGAGAUUAUGUGUGGCAGAGAAGGGCUUUUCCUUCUCCCCAGAGAGGAGAAGAAACAGUGGGCCGAGGACAAGGAAGAGGUAGGCAAGUGUAGUGGAAGGAAAGUCAGUGGUUGUCUCUGUGAUGUAGUUUUACAGGUGCCAGGAAAGUUCCCUACCCCUAAAUUUCUUUCCCAGAUGCUUGACAUUCUACUUGUAGUGAUUCAUUUCUUUUCAGGAAGUUACCAAUGGGUUUUCACAGAAGAUAACACUGGAUGUAAGCCCCCUGGAAUGAAAGAGAUUUCUCUGAAUCUUGAGGCAACUCUUUGUGAGGAUCUGAGGAAUAAUUUGAGAAGAGUAUUCCAGACACAUGGGGCCUUGGGAGGGCAACAGAGGAUGUCAAUGCAAGAAAGGGCUGGAAAUAAAGGGCCAGCCCUCCCUCUGUGCCUUUUUGGUCCCAUCCUCUGCUGCGACCAUGGAGACUCUCAGCAGCUGCCGUACUAACUCUCUCCCAGAGAUGCUGCCCAAUGGUUACCUGGCUCAAAUCAUCCCAGACCACCCUGAGGUAGAAAGCCUGACUGGGGAGGUAAGGCUGGAGGAAUUGGAGAAAUCUGAGCAGUAUGACCAGAGUGACUUGAGUGCCAGGGAAAGGAGUGGUUGGAAUAAGAAGAAAACCAAAAUUAACAAGAUCUGGAAUUUUGUGAGCUGCAGAAAAGGCGCCUCCAGCCAGGAAAAGCCACCCUAGUCCAUGCUUUUACUGGGAGACACCUCCAGGCUGUCAGAAGUGAAACUA
rnacentral:lncRNA from 1 species